GUCACACUAUCAUUAACUGAAUCCAUAGGUUAAUGAGGCGAACCGGGGGAACUGAAACAUCUAAGUACCCCGAGGAAAAGAAAUCAACCGAGAUUCCCCCAGUAGCGGCGAGCGAACGGGGAGGAGCCCAGAGCCUGAAUCAGCAUGUGUGUUAGUGGAAGCGUCUGGAAAGGCGCGCGAUACAGGGUGACAGCCCCGUACACAAAAGCGCAUGUGCUGUGAGCUCGAUGAGUAGGGCGGGACACGUGGUAUCCUGUCUGAAUAUGGGGGGACCAUCCUCCAAGGCUAAAUACUCCUGACUGACCGAUAGUGAACCAGUACCGUGAGGGAAAGGCGAAAAGAACCCCGGCGAGGGGAGUGAAAAAGAACCUGAAACCGUGUACGUACAAGCAGUGGGAGCACCCUUUGGGUGUGACUGCGUACCUUUUGUAUAAUGGGUCAGCGAC
rnacentral:rRNA from 1 species